GUAGUUGGUAAAUUGGUUGGUUGUCUCAAAGUUAAUUCAUACCCUCCGCCGAUCCCUCCCACGCAUCCACCCUCUUUCCACCGCCGCCGCCUUGAAUAGGUGGAUGCCGGAAAAGGAUCCAUCUUCUUAUAUUUCGGAACAGUGACAUUCCUUGGCUGAGACUACUCAUCCUAUAAUCUUGAGUAGUUUGAUCAAAUAAUUCAUGUGUUUAUAGUCGUCUUUCAAGAAAGUAUAAGAGACAGAAAGACGGAGCCGGUGAUAGAAAAGUGAACUCCGGGGAAGUUGCGUUGAUUGUAUUGGCGUGUCAACCCUAUGAAUCGGAAGCUUAGAGCACGCUGAGGCUCAUGAUCAUGAUCGUUUGUCUAAUUACGAAACAGUGGUGGUUCAAUUGAAACCUCAUACAGUCGACAACUAGGGUUCAUGACUCGAAGGUGAUGACGGAGACGUUGAGGGGUAGGUUUCAGGCGAUCGAUGAUGUCAAACGAUGGUCGUAUGGAACAUAUGGUCGGUCGACUCCACUGAAAAUAGGGGAAUGCAUUUUGGUCACCUUAUAGUUCAGAGAGUCAAAGGUACCAACGAUUAAGAAGGCGAUAUGUUUGGUACUUGGAACGCAGGAACUUGCUGGCUGGAGGGUGCGAGUGGUCAUGGUUGCAUUGAUGAGUUGACUAUAUAUUAGGAAAUGGCUCAAUGAAGAUGUCUUAUAUGGUAGGAUAUGGGCACAAACUACCCAAUAAGAGUUCAUCAUAGAGUAACUCACCUGCAAUCAUUUGGAUGUGUAGGAUAUGGCACAAACUACAUGCAAAUGAAAAGUAAAUCUCUAAUUCCUUUUCCCAAUUAAAUUGUUUCUCAUUAAAAGACCAUAAAAAAACUAAGACAACACAACAAUUAUCCGAGUUUUGCUUGGUGUUUAUUAGUUUAUUACUUUCAAAUGUUGUAAGAUGCACAAGACCUGGAAAUCGCAUAUAAGCUUCUUCAUUUAAGUAGUAAAAAAGAAUUUAACGUCUCACGUUUUUAUGUUGUGUGAUGACUAUGAAUUUGUCUUAUAUUGUAAAUUUGUAGUUAUGUACAUAUCAUUGCAUCGAUCUUUAAUAUACCAGGAUUUCGUUGGAAAGGAUGGUGAUGAGCCGCCUUAGUUCAUAUUGUUGGCUGGAGAAAGGUUUGCAUGGCCAAAGUUAACUUAACUGGAUGCUAUAGAAAUAGUGAGUCACAUCUUUGUAGAGUAAUUUGUAAGGUUUAAGGUUUGGCCUUUUGUUUGCUUCAACACUGAAUCGUCUGUGUUUGUAUAUAUAUGUUUUAUUUUCGGUU
rnacentral:lncRNA from 1 species